AGGAAUUUAAAAAUAUAAAUCUCAAUUUUGGUGUUUAAAACCCAAAUUUGUCUUACCUCCUGUCACCGCGUGGAUGUUUACUUGUAAUGUCGAUUCUCUCUCAAGUCCUCCUUAGCGAUGCUGUAACACAAUGCCAUCGGUUACUCUUUAGAUCUUCUUACUUUUUCUACCCAUCCUUCUCUCGAUCAGACUAGCUAUUUUAAGAUCUUACUUCCUCUCUAGAAUUUCAUACUUGUUCGGCUUGCUCUCUUUUGAGUCGAUCUGACUAUCACUCUCUUG
rnacentral:lncRNA from 1 species